GGAGAAGGGUGAUUUUGGUUAUUUGCUUGAAGUUGUUAUUUUGUUAGAGGUUUACUUUAUAGGACUAAAGGUUAAAAGUUUCUAAUGGUUGGAUUUGUAUAAAACUUGUUACAGAGGGUAGGGGACUAGAUUUGUGCCAGCAUCCGCGGUCAUACUCUUCCUAUAAAAUUUAGUAUUUUCUUAGGAAAGUAAUGUUUUUAAAACUUGGUGGGUGAAAUCUGCAGUUUGUUAUUUGUGCUUCGAAGGUUGUGAUCAGCUGCAGGACUAGGAUUAGACACCCUAUUACUCUGAGGUUACACUAAAGUAGUAACUGAUGCUCAGCAAACUUAAUUAUUCUGGCGGUUCGCUACUUUUACAGAGGAGCUUG
rnacentral:rRNA from 1 species